rnacentral:lncRNA from 1 species
UUGCACACACAGUUAGUAAGGGGACUGAAACGCUCUAAGGGCCUCCACUUGAGGGGCCUAUCUGCACCUUAACCCUUCUUUCAAUUGCUGUUCAUAAUUUCUAUGAGUUGCAUAAUCAAACUAUAUAGUUGCUUAAUUGCAUGGAAAAAAGUGUGAUUUGCACAGAUGAAUAUGUAAACUGCAUAGUUCAAUGUAUUUGUUGCAUUCAUGAAAGAUUUUAGUGAUUACGAAUAUUUUAAAUUCCUAGUUGAAAUAAAGGCUUUGAAUUGAAAUUGAAAAUGUGUAUUAAUUUUUAUUUCAUAGAUGAGUAAUAAAAUGAUGUGCAUAGUUAAAUUAGUGUGUUGCAUAAUUGCAGAAUUUAACUGCAUACUAGGGAUUCAAAUUGCUUAGUUGUUUAUUUUUUGGCUGCAUAGAUAAAUUAGUGUGAUGCACAUUGCAAAGUUGAAUACUCAGCUCUUUACUGUCAAAAUUUUUGAUAACCCAAUAUGCUAACUUUGUCGUGAGUUCAUUGAUUUGUAGAUGUAGUAAAUCGCCGAACCCGAUCUGUCGCACAGCUUCUUUUUGGGCGUCGUUGAGCGAUGAUAUCAACUUCUGCAAAUGGGAUGGGCUGCCACGUGAUCGAAGCAUAGGAUGAUUCUUAGCUUCCUUUUCAAUGUACAGGACCUUCAUCCCCAACAUUUACACUCCUUUGUUUAGUAUUUAAACCAUCUUCAACAAAGUCAUCAUCGUGAAUGCACAACGCUGUAUUGAUCUUCUGAACAACGGCCUUAUUUACAUUUAUGACUCUCGGCUCAUUAACUACAUAUUAGAUUGUUCCAACAAAUAAGUAUAAUCAUUUCAAUAUUAUUUACUAAUAA